GGUUAAAUGGCUGAAUCUUUAGGUAAUAAAUUGUAAAUUUAUUUAUGAGAUUAAAAAUCUCUUUAACCA
rnacentral:tRNA from 1 species